GCCCGAGUGGCGGAAUGGCAGACGCAGAGGACUUAAAAUCCUCCGGGGGGCAUCCCCCGUGUGGGUUCGAAUCCCACCGCCGGCA
rnacentral:tRNA from 1 species